AUUGAACGCUGGCGGCAUGCCUUACACAUGCAAGUCGAACGGCAGCACGGGAGCAAUCCUGGUGGCGAGUGGCGAACGGGUGAGUAAUAUAUCGGAACGUGCCCAGUCGUGGGGGAUAACGUAGCGAAAGCUAUGCUAAUACCGCAUACGAUCUAUGGAUGAAAGCGGGGGAUCGCAAGACCUCGCGCGAUUGGAGCGGCCGAUAUCAGAUUAGGUAGUUGGUGGGGUAAAAGCCUACCAAGCCUUCGAUCUGUAGCUGGUCUGAGAGGACGACCAGCCACACUGGAACUGAGACACGGUCCAGACUCCUACGGGAGGCAGCAGUGGGGAAUUUUGGACAAUGGGGGCGAACCCUCGAUCCAGCCAUUCCGCGUGAGUGAAGAAGGCCUCGUU
rnacentral:rRNA from 1 species